GAUCCAGCACGCCGCGUGAGUGAUGACGGCCUUACGGGUUUGAAAACUCUGUUUAUACGGGACGAUAGUGACUCACGUGUGACUGAUUGCACGUACCGUAUGAAUAAGGAUCGGCUAACUCCGUGACAGCAGCCGCGGUAAUAGGGAAUUAAAGGCACACUCGGGUU
rnacentral:rRNA from 1 species